rnacentral:rRNA from 1 species
AAAUUGAAGAGUUUGAUCAUGGCUCAGAUUGAACGCUGGCGGCAGGCCUAACACAUGCAAGUCGAACGGUAACAGGAAGAAGCUUGCUUCUUUGCUGACGAGUGGCGGACGGGUGAGUAAUGUCUGGGAAACUGCCUGAUGGAGGGGGAUAACUACUGGAAACGGUAGCUAAUACCGCAUAACGUCGCAAGACCAAAGAGGGGGACCUUCGGGCCUCUUGCCAUCGGAUGUGCCCAGAUGGGAUUAGCUAGUAGGUGGGGUAACGGCUCACCUAGGCGACGAUCCCUAGCUGGUCUGAGAGGAUGACCAGCCACACUGGAACUGAGACACGGUCCAGACUCCUACGGGAGGCAGCAGUGGGGAAUAUUGCACAAUGGGCGCAAGCCUGAUGCAGCCAUGCCGCGUGUAUGAAGAAGGCCUUCGGGUUGUAAAGUACUUUCAGCGGGGAGGAAGGGAGUAAAGUUAAUACCUUUGCUCAUUGACGUUACCCGCAGAAGAAGCACCGGCUAACUCCGUGCCAGCAGCCGCGGUAAUACGGAGGGUGCAAGCGUUAAUCGGAAUUACUGGGCGUAAAGCGCACGCAGGCGGUUUGUUAAGUCAGAUGUGAAAUCCCCGGGCUCAACCUGGGAACUGCAUCUGAUACUGGCAAGCUUGAGUCUCGUAGAGGGGGGUAGAAUUCCAGGUGUAGCGGUGAAAUGCGUAGAGAUCUGGAGGAAUACCGGUGGCGAAGGCGGCCCCCUGGACGAAGACUGACGCUCAGGUGCGAAAGCGUGGGGAGCAAACAGGAUUAGAUACCCUGGUAGUCCACGCCGUAAACGAUGUCGACUUGGAGGUUGUGCCCUUGAGGCGUGGCUUCCGGAGCUAACGCGUUAAGUCGACCGCCUGGGGAGUACGGCCGCAAGGUUAAAACUCAAAUGAAUUGACGGGGGCCCGCACAAGCGGUGGAGCAUGUGGUUUAAUUCGAUGCAACGCGAAGAACCUUACCUGGUCUUGACAUCCACGGAAGUUUUCAGAGAUGAGAAUGUGCCUUCGGGAACCGUGAGACAGGUGCUGCAUGGCUGUCGUCAGCUCGUGUUGUGAAAUGUUGGGUUAAGUCCCGCAACGAGCGCAACCCUUAUCCUUUGUUGCCAGCGGUCCGGCCGGGAACUCAAAGGAGACUGCCAGUGAUAAACUGGAGGACGGUGGGGAUGACGUCAAGUCAUCAUGGCCCUUACGACCAGGGCUACACACGUGCUACAAUGGCGCAUACAAAGAGAAGCGACCUCGCGAGAGCAAGCGGACCUCAUAAAGUGCGUCGUAGUCCGGAUUGGAGUCUGCAACUCGACUCCAUGAAGUCGGAAUCGCUAGUAAUCGUGGAUCAGAAUGCCACGGUGAAUACGUUCCCGGGCCUUGUACACACCGCCCGUCACACCAUGGGAGUGGGUUGCAAAAGAAGUAGGUAGCUUAACCUUCGGGAGGGCGCUUACCACUUUGUGAUUCAUGACUGGGGUGAAGUCGUAACAAGGUAACCGUAGGGGAACCUGCGGUUGGAUCACCUCCUUA